rfam:Camelus ferus unplaced genomic scaffold scaffold75, whole genome shotgun sequence.
GAGGGUCUAGCUCAGCGGUAGAGCGCCUGCUUAGCCUGCAUGAGGUCCUGGGUUCGAUCCCCAGCACCUCCG